rnacentral:tRNA from 1 species
GCACUAGUGGUUCAGUGGUAGAAUUCUUGGCUUUUUUGCAGGAGAUCCGGGUUCGAUUCCUGGCCAAUGUA